UUGACCUCGAAUCAGGUAGGAAUACCCGCUGAACUUAAGCAUAUCAAUAAGCGGAGGAAAAGAAACCAACAGGGAUUGCCUCAGUAACGGCGAGUGAAGCGGCAACAGCUCAAAUUUGAAAUCUGGCUCUCGGGCCCGAGUUGUAAUUUGUAGAGGAUGCUUUUGGUGCGGUGCCUUCCGAGUUCCCUGGAACGGGACGCCAUAGAGGGUGAGAGCCCCGUCUGGUUGGACGCCAAUCCUCUGUAAAGCUCCUUCGACGAGUCGAGUAGUUUGGGAAUGCUGCUCUAAAUGGGAGGUAUAUGUCUUCUAAAGCUAAAUACCGGCCAGAGACCGAUAGCGCACAAGUAGAGUGAUCGAAAGAUGAAAAGAACUUUGAAAAGAGAGUUAAAAAGUACGUGAAAUUGUUGAAAGGGAAGCGCUUGUGACCAGACUUGGGCUUGGUUGAUCAUCCAGGGUUCUCCCUGGUGCACUCUUCCGGCCCAGGCCAGCAUCAGUUCGCCCCGGGGGAAAAAGGCUUCGGGAAUGUGGCUCUCUCCGGGGAGUGUUAU
rnacentral:rRNA from 1 species